CUGCAUUUAAAAGUAUUCCGGCACUAAUUUAAUAAAUGUUCAUUCAAAAACAUUUGCGCACUGCCACUCUUUUUCAAAUGGACCAUAUGAUAAAGAUAAUGAUUGAUAUAUGAUCUUAGCAAUUAUCAAAAUCAGUUCAAAAGUCCAUUGAUAUAAAUUCAAAGAGCUACUUUGUAAACAAUAAUCUACUUACCAAUUAAUAUUUUAUUCUCACUUCAUGUUAUUUAUUGAUGGUUUAUACACAUUGAAAACAUAGAUAUUUAUUGCAGUAUUCCAGUUUAUGUAUGAUGUUCCAAAAAUGAUGAGUUUUACAGUAACGUAACACAUCAAAGUGCAUGGCAGUCCAGAGUGGCAUUACUUACAAAGAAUUAGACAUUUUACCUGCAGAAACUAACAAGCAGGGACGUAUAUUAUACAGAGAUGAAGAUAGGUUCUCGUGAGUUUACGGGAUCUUCUCAUAGAAGGACGGGUGAAAUUAUUAUUUUGUUUGUCAUAUGCACUGAUCUUUCUGUGGUCACAAUGAGGAAACCCAGACUACAUUCACAGUUGGCAGAGGACAUUGCUCAUUGAUAAGACAAUACUGUUUAUCUGAUUAAAUAUUAGAGGAAUUCUAAACAUUUACCAAAAUUAUCCAUUUAGAAAGUGUUCCAACAAGAAGAUCGAGAAAUUUCUCACUCUUAAAUUUGUCCGGCUUAACUCAUAAUACUUCACACUAAUGACGGACUGUGCAUAAAUUAAAUAUAUUGAGAGCAGAUUUAUUAAUACAUUAAGUGCAGAGUUUUGUCUCAAGACAAACCUUUUGCAAGCUUCUUCUUAGCCGAUAUGCUGUACUUUGUGUUAAUAAAUCUGCCUUCAAUGUAUCAAAUAUGCUCCUGGUUCAUCUUUACUUAUGUGGAGGCGUAUUGUUGCAGAGGACUUGGUUUGUUUUACUGAUGUGUGCCUUCUCAGUAUUGUUUUUAAGGCCAGACACUGAAGACUGAAGUUGCAUUCGACAGGCGUGUAGCUUUAUAUGAUAUGAAUGUAUGAGCUUAUUUUGAAGUUUAGCAUAAGCUACAUGGUUGUCAAUAGCAGAGAGAAAGACAUUAUCAAAGUAUUGUUUUACAUUCAUUCAAAUGGAAUUGCAAAUGGUCAGACAAGAUUAUAGAUUAAUAGUGUUUUUAGUAUGUUUUGAUUUACUUUACAACCAACCAAAUGUAAUUUUAAUGCUGUUGCAUCCAUUAAGUUAGCUUAAAGUGAAUUUAUAAAAUGGCUGCGUAGUGAAGUGAUGUCACAAUAAGUACCUCUUUAAUGGUUGCAGGUCAUGCAAGACAGAGAGGAGAGUUCAGUCUUGAUUUUGUGAAUGAACUUUGCUCAUGGCAGUCACAUGGCGUAACAAUUUUGAACAACAAGCUGACUUCUACAACUUUUAGAAUCUGUCUGCCAUCUGUGCACGUACCCAGCAAAUAAUAACAGUGUGAACCAAGUUUUAUGGGUCCAGAGGUAAUUACUAAUAAACCGAUAUGUUUAUAAAUGUAAAUGGUCAAUUUUUAAUUUCUUUAAUGUCACAUGAACACAUAGGAAGGGGUUCAAGUAUUUUCGGGUAUUCAAUAAUGUAUAUAUUAUUUUAAAUUUAUAGUGAAUUUCAAAUAUUUGGCCAAAUGUUUGUGAGCACACACUUGACUUUCUUUUAUUGAAUCUUUAUUUUAUUUUGGCCUAAUAUUAGAAAUUCAAUAUGAAUCCCCAGCAAUUCACACUUUAAUGAAUAAUACUAACUAUAAGUGUUCUCUUCUUUGAACAUUAAGCUCACAGACACCCAUUAAAGACAGACGCAAGAAUGAUUAGCUCUAUGUCUCUGCCUAGAAUUGGAAGAUGAUCAUAAAAACCUCAGAAAACUAUGAUAUGGAAAAUGAUUUCAAAUUGUUUAUUAACAGACACAGCUUUUCUAAAAUAUACCUUUAUAUUUAUUUUUGUCCUCCUUUAACUGGAAUAAACAGAAGCCAACAGGGUGUUAUCUCCUUUGUUUUAAUUGAUCUUAGAUGCAUAUAUAAAUGUAAAUCCUGUUUUAAUUGUUGCAGUGGUGCUAUGUUACCCAUACCUUGUCAACUGAAAACACAAGCUAUCAGGACAGCUAAUUUCAAUGGAAAGAUUUCCUUUCAGAGUCUUAGCAUACGUUAUCAAACAUCCCACUAAUAAAAAAAUAACAAAACAGCACCAGAUAUACAGAAACAAAAAAAAAAUUCAAAAAAGAAUUAAUGACAUUUACAAUGACAAAUCUUAAAAAAACACCCUCAUUAUCAUCAAGUCUCACUAUAGCAGACCUGGGAUAAAACGUGUGCUUAAAACAGCACUAGAAUUUAGAAAAGAAAAAACUAAAAAACACUACUGUAACCCAAUUUUUAGAUAAGUAAAGUAUGUAAAGUGUUCUCGCACUCUCUCUCUCUCUCUUUAUAUAUAUAUAUAUAUAUAUAUUUCCACCCAAGUUGGAGCAGAUUGUCUUUGUAAACACUGUCUGACUGUGUUCAAAUUUUCCCAACAGAAGCAGGUUUUGCAUAGCGCUGUCCCUAUCAAGUUUUUGCUAUAAAAUACUGUAUUUUACCAACAAAGCUUACUGGCAGAAAAACUUUGGACUAUCACACUAAACAUAUCUAAUGAAAAUGUCUCUAAGAUAAACUGAUAAAGAAACGAUAUGUUCUUUUUCUGGCUAGUGUGGCAGAUAAUGCUACUUACUAUAUUGACUUAUUGACUUGUUCGUAUUUGAGAUAGGAGCAGAAUGGCACAUACUUUUUCUGACUUUGCAGUAGUCUAUAUAUA